UACACAAAAUUGAAUACGUCUGGUAUCAAAAGAUCUUAAUACUUACGGUUCAAAACAUGUUCACUACCAACCAACCUAAUAGUUUGUACGUAUAGAAACAUAUUCAACCAUGCAGCUACACAAAUAGAUACAUUCUUAAUACUGCCCAUGGUAAAUGCGCUAGAGUAACGAGUGGAUGAAAUGUAAUUUGCUUUUUUCAUAAUUUUAGAAAAGGUGGGAUUCAAUUAAGGGGAAUAUCGAUUAUUUUUUCAAUAUUUAUUCCUCUACGUAUACCCUUAAUUUGCGUAUCUAUAGGAUGCAGUCGAGAUCAUCAACUUAUGCGUUAGUUAAUCCCUCGCUCUGCCACCUAAUAUCUAUAUUAAAAUUUGUAUAAAUAUAAUAAAAUUUUCCAUUCAAAGAAUUUUCUAAAAUAUAUGUACGCGUAUACAAUAAUUUAUUAUGUUAGUGUUAAAUACUUGUAGAGCCACAGGAUGAUGGUGACAGCAGUCGCACCGGCGCCACCGGCGGCUGCUAAACCCGUAGUCAGUAAACCAGUGGUAAUACCAGCUGGUACGAGAAUCGGACUGAAUACUACGAAUAGUGGCAUGGUAGCGAUAAAUGCGGCGGCUGUGCCGGCGAGGGAUACACCGGAGAUCAACAAGAGGAAUGUUGCGGCUUGUGUAGCUAAUAUUGAGGUUAAAACACUCUUAAACGACGGCUUUCGCUCGUGUUUUUUCUUCCUGAGUAUCCCCAUUGUUUACUAGUUUGAAUGGCUAGAAGAGAGGGGUAUGAUUCUUUGGUCCGAUGGUCGUGGGAAUUUAUGAAGAAGAGAUGGAUUCAUGCACAUAUAUUAAGUGGUGUGGUCUACGUGUACGGUACGUGUUUAUAAAUACCCAUGCGAGUGAAUGUUGAGCUCUAUACGUUACGUCAAUGCCUUUUCCUUUCGUCUGUUUUUUUGUUGUUGGGUUGUCACAUGUUUUGCCUCUUUUUAGCUUGCUUGUAAAAUAGGAGUGGACAUUUUGGUUUAAUUCACGUAAACCAAAUGAUAUCUGGAUCGUUUAUGUUUGAUUUAGUUUUAGAAGCACCUGAAUUUUAAGCGAACUUAUAUAUAAUUCUUAAUGAUCUAGUUAGAAAUUGCUUCUGUUAUAUUUGGUUUAGUUUUGACCUUUGAUAGAGUUUAAUUUGGUUGUCUCGUGUUAUGGUUAUUUAUGAACCAAAAGUUGAUCUGUUGGUUUUAUUAGGACUUGCUUACGGCUAAUCCCACGGCUGUGACGCCAAGGAUUAUUCCGGAGAAUUUCAAUAGAACUAUGCAGCCACUGCAGUGAAAACCGCCUGAAAAAUCUCAAAAUAGAUAUUAAUUAAAAUUGAAUUGGAAGACCAUGUCAGUGCAUUUGAAUAAUGAUUCCGGAGGGAUGUGCAUGUUAUUAUGAAGCACAUUAUUUCUUUGCUUCCAUAGAUGGAAAAGUGUGACUGGAGCGGAGAGACAACGAAGCUUUGGGCACAAGAGAAAGAACAAUGGCCACAGAGAAAGAAUAAUCUUGUUUGAUAGCGUGGUUGUGUAAUUUUAUGAAAAGAGAGUGGACAUGCAUAGCCAGUGCCAAAUGAAAUUCAUUUCAUUCAUUCAUGUACAAAUUUGUUAUGAAAUAUUUUUUUAUAUAUUUUAUCUAAUUAUUUUUUAAAUUGGUGAAAUGAUCAUUCAAUUUUAUUCAUAGUAAAUGGUAAAAAAAAUUGUGGAGUUAAUAGAAUCAACUAUUCCACAUCUUUCUAUUCCAAAAAAUUGUAAUCCAGUUGCACCAUGAAUGUUUAGAUCAACGUAACUUGGCCACAAUACAGCUCAAAAAGAAAUGAACUUGGCCACAACUUUUUUUUUUUUUGAAAAGGGCAUUACUUGACCAUAAUUAUUAUGGCCCCAUUUUACAUGUAACUUACAAUGGUUCCUUGAGGCCUAUAGAUUGUCUCGUUUGACAACGUUGGUGAACAAGAACUUGAAUAACAUUUUAGUUGAACUUGAAUAAAAUUAACGUCAACGACACUUCGCUUCGUUCUUAAAAUGUUAUACAAUAAAAAUGCUUACAUUUGUUACUAUUUUGUUCCACGAUAUCCAUUAGUAUAGUGAUAUUUGAAAAUUUAACUUCCAUCCCCACGUAAAUAUUAUUAUUUAUUUUUUAAAGUUGGAUUAUUUAUCUAUCAUCCUUUGCUUAUUACCCACCGCUUUCAUGUACUCGGUGCAGCUGCUGGUGCGGCUGAUGGUGCUGCCGCUGGUGCGGCCGCUGGGUCGGCUUCUGGUUUUGCUGCCAGUUUAGCUGCAGCACCUCCACCAGGAAACACCUUUUUCAAGACUUUUGACAUGAUUUUUGGCGGCUCCUUCCCCGUUACUCGCCUACACAGAAUUGAACACGUCUAUAUGUCAAAAGUCGUGGUAUCAAUUCUUAAUAGUUACGGCUCAAAACAUGUUCACUACCAACCAACGUAAUAAUUUGUACGUAUACAAACGUUUUCAACCAUGCAUCUAAACAAAUAGAUAUAUAUUCUUAAUAUUCCCAAUGGUAAAUGCGCUAGAGUAACGAAUGGAUGAAAUGUAAUUUGCUUUUUUUCAUAAACUUUUAGAAAAGGUGGUAUUCAAGGGAAAUAUCGAUCUUUAUUCAAUAUUUGUUCUAGAAACAACCGCACCCGUAAUUACGAAAACACAUUAAGUAUGUAUUAUAAAUGCAUACCUUUUUGUAGUUAUCACUUUUUAAUAAAUUUAAAUCAAUAAUAAUUCAAUAAGCUCAAUUAUUUUUUUCCUAAAAAAUACAAUGUACUAUUAUUCAAUAAUGAUAAACUUAUAAAACAUAAAAUUUAUCUUUGUGAAAUAUUUUUUAAAUUUUUUUUAUCUUUUUGAAUGGAAGGAGUAAAUAACAAAGUGUAGUAAAAUUCAUCAACUUAUGCGUUAAUUAUAAUCCGUCAGUCUCCCACCCAAUAUAUGACUUAAAAUUUGUAAAAAUAAAUUUUCCAUAAUCAUAUAUUUUGUUAGUGUACUUGAAGACCCAAAGGAUGAGGGAGACAGCCAUUGCACCGGAGCUACCGGCGGCUGCUAAACCCGUGGCCAGUAAACCAGUGGCAACACCCGCUGGUACGAGAAUCGGACUGAAUACUACGAAUAGUGGCAUGCUAGCGAUAAAUGCGACGGCUGUGCCAGCGAGGGAAACACCGGCGAGCAAUAAGAGAAAUAUUGCGGCUUGUGUAGCUAAUAUUGAGGUUAAAACACUCUUAAACGACGGCCUUCUGGAUUUUUUAUUGUGUUUCUUUCUGAGUACCCCCAUUUUUCACUAGUUUGAAUGGUCAAAAGAGAUGGGUAUGAUUCUUUGGUCCGAUCGUUGUGA
rnacentral:lncRNA from 1 species